UACGUAGGGUGCAAGCGUUAAUCGGAAUUACUGGGCGUAAAGCGUGCGCAGGCGGUUAUGUAAGACAGAUGUGAAAUGCCCGGGCUUAACCUGGGAACUGCAUUUGUGACUGCAUGGCUAGAGUUUGGCAGAGGGGGGGUAGAAUUCCACGUGUAGCAGUGAAAUGCGUAGAUAUGUGGAGGAACACCGAUGGCGAAGGCAGCCCC
rnacentral:rRNA from 1 species